GACGAACCGUGCGAGCGUUGUUCGGAAUCACUGGGCUUAAAGGGCGCGUAGGCGGCUUGCCAAGUCAGUGGUGAAAUCCCACAGCUUAACUGUGGAAGUGCCUUUGAUACUGGCGAGCUCGAGGGAGGUAGGGGUAUGUGGAACUUCUGGUGGAGCGGUGAAAUGCGUUGAUAUCAGAAGGAACGCCGGUGGCGAAAGCGACGUACUGGACCUCUUCUGACGCUGAGGAGCGAAAGCCAGGGGAGCAAACGGG
rnacentral:rRNA from 1 species